UGCAGGUCAUUUUUCUCCUGCACAAGUUUCACCAUUUUCUCUUCCAGCUCCUUCCGCUUUGCCUCAGACUUCGCAAGCUCCUCCUUGGUUUUCUCAAACUCUUGUUUCAUGUUGGCCAUCUCCUUCUCAGACUCUGCACUCUUCAGCAAGGGCUUGAUCUUGAAGAACAGCUUCAUCCAUGGCCAGUGCUUGACAUUCAUGAAUGCACGAAUGUUGUACUGGAUGCAGAAGAUGGACUCCCUGAAAGACAAGUCGAAUUAAAAUUCAAUAUUUACACCAUGAUGACAUAAUAAGCCAAGUACAGUGAGCCUGAUUUGAAGAAAAGUUUACCUUCUCUCCACCAUUUUCUGGUACUCCACCCUCAUCAGGUAGCCCCUGCACCUGGCCUGGGUGCGGGUGAUGAGCUGUGCCAGCUUCUCAUCCCUCAUCUCUUCCAAAAGCCCCACCAGCCCAGCUUUGAAGAACACCUUAGGACUCUGUUGGGAAAUCCUUUCCUGCAAAUCCUGAUCCCUUCCAGCACGCCGUUACAGCGCAGCUGAUGCAGCACCAGCUCGUGCUCCAUGGCACCUGGCAAUGCAGAACACAAAUACAUGCCACGUUCUGCAAUACAGUGGGGAAGAGCUGCACCACACUGAAAACCUUCUAUGUACAUGUUCCCAUAGUGCAUGACAGCCCCUGUCAGCUUGUAGAUGGCUGUCUUUUCAUCAGCAGUGAAGCCCAGGAUGUCAAUGGCACUCUGUACUGGAUGACACGCUUGGUGUUCACAGUCUUCCCGGCCCCGGAUUCUCCGCUGCCAAAGCCAAGAGAGAAGCAGAGGUUUUGACAGUGACUUUGCCUGAUUCCCUGCUUGUGAUUGUCCCUUUCACAAAGGAUUCUUUCGGAUGAACAACAAAGACAGAUGACUUGGCAUCAAAAGGUAAUAAAUAUAUUUUUUGGUCUGGAGUAAGAAAAUGGAUAUCUAAGAAAGCUGAGAAUUCUGGCACUCUACAAAAGUGGUUAGAAGGGUGAACUUCGCUGAACUUCACAGCAGCAAACCACAGCAGAGAUAAAUGGCAGGAGGCAGGCUGGAAGCCAUCUCUGGAUACAGACUGUGCUGCACAGCAAUGCAGUGUCGUCAAGGUGCACAUUCCCCGUGGAGGAGAAAGGAUUCAGUCGUGCUGAAAAUAGAUCCUUCUUGAGACAGA